rnacentral:rRNA from 1 species
UACGAAGGGGGCUAGCGUUGCUCGGAAUUACUGGGCGUAAAGGGCGCGUAGGCGGUGCCACAAGUCACCUGUGAAAUCCCUCGGCUUAACCGGGGAACUGCGUCCGAUACUGGAUGGCUUGAGUUCGGGAGAGGGAUGCGGAAUUCCAGGUGUAGCGGUGAAAUGCGUAGAUAUCUGGAGGAACACCGGUGGCGAAGGCGGCAUCCUGGACCGAUACUGACGCUGAGGAGCGAAAGCCAGGGGAGCAAACGGG